AUUUGUUUGUUUUCUCUUGUGUUACUGAGUGAGGAAAAGCCUUCCAUCACUGUACCUGUUGUGUGGUUUAUCAUUACUAAAAACUACUUUCUGGAAUAGGGUAGGUUGCUUAUGUUUGGUAUUUUGAUGAGCAGGUAUAUUGGUCAUGGUCUUUCUAGACUAGUUCUAAUUUUUACUACUUCUUUGAGAGGUGUCCUCAUCCUUGUCUCCACCGUAUCUGGUAAUUUCGGUUACUGUUCUCUGCAUCUUCGCUGUAACAUGUCUGCUCCUGAAAAAUCAGAGCCGAAAGAGAGAAGCUAAGUUAUAUCUAGAGCAGAAGAGGAAAUAUGUGAUGGAGACGAAGGGGAAUUCCUUUAGAAGAGUGUAAUCACUGAAAACUCUCUCGCACGUAAUCUCUCUCAUACACCCAUGAACACACAUCCCCCUUCUCACUCACACACACAAACACCCCCACACACACACGCACACACACACGUGGUGAUCUUGUGAAGUCUAUGCAGCAUUGCAUUGCCUGACCCAGUGCCUGGUGGAGCAGAACUUCCCAGCCAUUGCCCUCCACUGAGGAAUGCCCCAGAAGGAGAGACUUUCUUGGUAUCAGCAGUUUAAAGAUUUUCAAUGAUGAAUUCUUGUGGCUACCAACCUAUUCAGCUGAGGCAAGGACAUGGAGCAGGUGAACAUUGCCUUUAACUGUGACAUGCCUGAGGAUUCUGACACCCCCCUGCAUCGGGUGGCCACAGCAGGCAAGGUUGACCCCUAAGGCUUGGCCAUCACAUUUGUGUCACAUGAGAAUGAUGCCAAGAUCCUCAAUGACGUGCAGGAUCGCUUUGAGGUCAAUACUAGUGAGCUGCCUGAGGAGAUAGACAUCUCCUA